ACUUGUUGGCUUUUGCCCCUGCCACGCCGAAGAGGAUGGACAAAAACAAAGUGCCGGCAAAAAAGAGGCUACGGGUUCGCACUCAGAAAAUGAAGGACCUGAGCUCCCCUCCCCCAAAUGAGCAAUCUGGGUGUAUUGCAUUCGUCAGAUGGGAGGAUGGUUAUACCGGCAAAAUCUUUAAAGGAUCUGACAUUUUGGCAAGAGAUGAGGCUCCUGUGCAGUUGCAAGAUCUUAGAUCAGGAGAUCCUGUUUUAGCAAAGUGGUCAGAUGGUAAA